UGGAGGUUCCCAGGCUAGGGGUCUAAUCAGAGCUGUUGCUGCUGGCCUACACCACAGCCACAGUAAGGCCAGAUCCAAGCCGCGUCUGCGACCUACACCACAGCUCAGGGCAACGCUAGAUCCUUAACCCACUGAGCCAGGUCAGGGAUCAACCCGAAAGCUCAUGGUUCCUAGUCGGAUUCAUUUUCAUUGUGCCAAGAUGGGAACUCCAGCAAUGCAUUCCUUUGUAUUAAGCACUGUCCUUCUGUCCUUUCUCAUUCCUGAAGAAGCAAACUAAGAAAGAGGAGGCAGGAGUGAUAUAUACAGAGGGCACUUCAUCCAAGACAUUAUGGUAUUAAGGCUGCCAUUUCUAGGACUGGCAAGUCCUUCAUUUUUUUGUUCUUCUUCUAUUUCCACUGAUACAAAAAUGGCACACAGUUAAAAACAAACAACAAACAAAACCAUCCCUUCUCCCUUCAUGCAGCCACUUGCCUGAGUUGGGUGAUGUGUGGCCCUUUGGGACAGCUUCUGGAAGACAGGCCCCCUGGCAGGUACAGAGCUUUGGACGCUCGAGGCUGGGCCCCUGGUCCUCCUGAGUGGACCUGGCAUUCCGUCCACUGGAGGGCAGUAGUGUCCACACUCACGGCUUCCUGGGCAGCUCAAGGUCCAGACACACCUUCCUCUCCAGAGACUCUACCCAGCGCGGCUUCCUCAUCUUCCUCUCUGCUCACGUGUGUGUCUGUGUGUGUGCGUUUUAGAUAGAUUUUCAGGGAAAGUCUUUAAAACACUCAAGUUACCACCAAACCCUCCCCUCAGAGAUGUAAACAGGCUGGGUGCUGUUACACAGAACUGCUCCAAGGCAAUUAAUGAAUUGCCUGAGAUCUCAACUCACGUACCACGCUAAUGAAUGUAAGUGUGAAAACCCCCAACAAAACACGGCAAAGUAAAACGCUUCAGGCGGAAAAACACCUCUCUCCAUUUUCACAGCCCCUGUGUGCAUAACGCAGUUUAACCAAGACCAAACAUUGCUUCUGGAUUAUUUCCUGCCCUUGGUAAGUCUCCUCCCCAAUAAUUAGGCCUCCGAAACUCUACCAGAUGCAGGCAUUUUGUGGAGGCUGGACCUGCAUUGACUGUUGCCACUCCCUUUAUUUGUUUAGGCAGUAGCUUUUCUUGAGCACACAACUGACUGCUGGAUGAGGGACUGAGCCCUGGGCACAGGAUCCCUGGGGCUCUUGGUCAAUGCAGGAGAAUGCACAUAAAAUGCAUUUUGUGAUGCUUUGAAAUCAAGAUGCCAGCAGAGGGCGAUUUGGGAAGGGAGGAGCCCAAGCUCUGCUGGAGAAGGUGGGCAGUGGCCUCACAGAGGAGGUGACAUUCCGUCAGAGGCUUAGAGGAUGAGGGGACUCUGCUUCUCUCCACCUCUCCCUGCCCAGAGUGUCUACGCAGGUCCGGCCGCUGGAGGGCCAGCAAGGGCCGUGUGUCUGCUCUCCUACACGGUUCGAGGGGCGAAACUCCCCUCACCUCACAUACCUCUGCCCCCGAACCUGAACUUCCCACCACUGGAACUUUCUGUGUGGGUGAAAGCCUUCUCUCCGAAAAGUUGAAAGGAAAAGGUUCAUAUGGAAGAGCUGCCAUGAGCAUGGCACGCGAGAACGUUGGAGAAGGCAACAGAGAGAGUCUGAUGGCAGCUCUUGGGUCAGGUGCACACAUGGAGGUCAGCAGAGGUUAGGAGGGGCUGAGGUCCGAGCCUGGACACAACCCCAGCUCUUCUGCCCCAUAGUCAGGAUGUGCCCCACGUCAGCUGGUCUUAAAGGAUCCAUCCGCAAGCGUGUAAUAGAGCACCGGGAAGAGAAGAAAACGUGUGGCUUGGAGAGGAAGGAAGGGAUUCUUAAACUGCAAUCAUCAUUAUUUAUCUAUUUAUUCAUUUAAACCUUCAACCCUUGACCACGUCAUUCCUGCAUCCAUCCCUUUAUUUAUUCAUUAGACAAAUGCUUCCUGGUCCAUUGUGCAGGUUUCACAUGGGGACAUGCAUGAAAUCAGACUUUGAUGGCACGUCAAUAUCACUUGGGGACCCAGGGAAGCUCAUUUUGUAAGCGUCACCUGGAACCCUGUGAUGGAAGAGAUUCAGAGGCGACGUCUGGGCUCAGGGGGAAAGCGACUGAUUCAUGAUGCCGCCUUGGCAGAUGUUUGCCAAGCUCUGCAUCUCAAGCAUUGGCUCAGAGGCUCGAGCAAGUGCCCAACCCCAAGAAGCUGCUUGAGGUAUCAAGAGCACCCUGGGGGCGCAGCCCUGACAUUUUACAGUGAGAAAGAAUCUCUCCUCAGCCCGGUCUCUUCUUUCCAGGUCAAGCUCUGGGGUCAACCUGUCCUGUUUUCCUGGUUUUAAACUGAAAGUCAGUAACCCCCUUUGUCCUGAGCAACCUGGGGACACUGGCCGCCCAUCCUCCCCCGGUAAACCUGCGGAGGGUUGGGCCUAUAUGCUCACAGCCCUGAGACACGUUUCCAUGGACACCAAACAUCCAGGCUCCAGCGAGACGGGCAGGGUGAUGUUUCAUUUCUAUGGGAUGCUUGUGAUUCCUUAGGCUACAAUUUAAGUGGGUGUUAGCCUUCGAACCAAGAAAACGGCUUUUUACUGGAUUCUGGGCCCGAGAAGAGCUGGGUCCAGAAAUACCGGCUGGACGAGCUGCAUUUGCCACAGGGUCUCCCCAGUGGUGCAGUGAAACAGAAGAGCCUGACCUUGGAUGGUCAGGCCGUGGGGACCUCUGACGCCUCUUUCACGGGCUCCAGGGGAGGCAGAAAGGCAGCAAAUGUUGGCCAGCAGCCCCCAGGAUUGCAGCUAAAAUAUAAGACCAGAAGAGCUAGGUUCACGUUUUUUUCUUAUAAAAUCACUGCUGUAUACUUUGUGAUAUUAGAUAUUAUUUCUAAUCUCCCACAGAGUUGGAAAAGCAGGGUAAAAAUCUCUGAUUUACAGAUAAGGAAACAGAGUCCCAGAGAGGCUGUCUUUCAGUCCAAGGUUACCCAGCCAAGAAUGGCAAGGGCAAGGGCUUGGGCUCCUUUCAGGGCACCCGGCUCCAUCCUUUGCCACCUGCUUUUGCUACAUGGCUUAAGGCAGGCUGUUCACUGAAAACAAGGGGGGAAUGGCAGCCCGCUACCUAGCUCACCUGCACCAAAGUGACAGAGCUUUGGAAAUUGUGAGCAGAAGUCACAACUUGCGGCAGCCCAUCUACCAGAUUCAACUUUAGAGGGACUUCAUGUGAAAAAGGAACUUUCACUCCCUCCAUCCCUCACAAGACCCAGCAUCACGGGUCCACAUUCUCCCAUGGCAACCAUUCCCCGAAGUGAUGAGCAGCGACCCCUUUAGAUGCAGCCCUUUAGAUGUAGCCCAUGGCUCAGUCCCUAGCAGACCCCUCACUCAGUUUGCCACCUGCUGACCUUUACAGGCAUUUCUGCAAAGAAUCCCACAGAUGGAUGCCAGCUUCUGGAGCUCAGAGGGAACCACUAGGACAGGGGCUCUCAGACUUAAGGAUAUAAUGCAGACCAAAGACAUUUCCAAGAGGGGGAAAAAGGAAAGAAAACCUAUUUGUUGGGGAUGGACACACAAAACAAGGAAGAUGAACUACUAUGACCAUUGCGAAAUGAAAAGAGGGACAUUUCCAUUUUUCGAAAGUAAGAAGGCGCAGAUCUCACUACUGAAAUCCCACUGCCCACAGAAUGAUGGCAGAUAGUGGUUGCUCCACAAAUACUACUGAAUGUGUGCUCUUGGGUGAAUUUCAGAUCAAAAAGGAACCCUUUAAAUGAAGUAAGAUGACUUUACGGAAAUCUCACUUUCCCUGGGCCUCAUUUUUCUAGAGAAAAAUUUAUCAUGGACCAGAAUUAAUCUACCAACUGCCUCUUGAGCACCCUGAUCUGGAAUAACAUCGCAUCACUCACUCAGAGCAGGCAUAAGAUCCAGAUGGGGGUACUGACUUGCCCAAAGACACACAGCUCAUUAAAAACUGGCCUUUUUUCCCUUUUUUCUUCCUUUCUUUCUCUCUCUCUGUCUUUCGUUCGUUCCUUCCUUCCUUUCUUUUGAUGGCUGCACCCACAGCAUAUGGAAGUUCCUGGGCCAGGGGCUGAAUCCGAGCCACAGCUUUGACCUACGCUGUAGCUGCAGCAACACCAGAUCCUUUAACCCCCUGUGCCAGGCUGGGGAUCAAACCUGUACCUCCAAAGCAACCGGAGCCACCCCAGUCGAAUUCCUAACCCGCUGCACCCCAGCAGAAACUCCCCAAUUGAUCUUCUGACUCACAAACGCCUGGACCCCUGCUCCUUCAGUCUGUCCCGAGAAGGAACGAAACUCUGGGGAAGAGAUUUAUUUCGUGCGGGACUUGAAUGAGACAUUUCCUUUUCAAUCCUUUUCCUUUUUCAGUUGAAGUCAAAGACUGAGCUUCGUGCUGAUGUGUUUUCAACACCCUCUACCACUUGAACUCUCUCUUUUCUGCAAAGGAAGAGCAGGCCUUGGGCUCAGAGCCUUCGAUGGGCAACGUACCUUGUCUCACAAGGAUUUUAAUGCCAUAGUUUUGCUAUUGCAUUUUCAUGGUUGUGGUGAUUCCCUGUUUAUGACAAGUGAAACUGGUGGUGGUUUUACAAAGUGUUCAUUUCAUUUAGAUAAAAAGUGUGAGCUGAUGCAAAGAAAACGUUUGAUGUAAAUAGUGGCAGGACAACAGUGCCAAGAAGCAAAAAAUCAUGACAGUGGGAUACACGGGGGCUCCAGGCAGGAUCGCAGAUCUGGACUGCUUGGGUUCAGAUCCAGCUUCAGGUCAGAUUCACCUCCCAGCUGGGUGACCGUGGGAAAGUUAGUCAGCCUCUCUGUACCUCAGUUUCCUCAUUUGAAAAAUUCAGGGAAUAAUGAACCAAUCUCUGAGUCUGUUAUGACAACUGCGUGAGAUGACAAGAACAAAGCAGUGGGAACAAAGCCUGGCAAGUUGCACCUGCUUUGUGAGGGCUACAGGAAUGAGAACAAUGCUGAUCGCAGUGGUGGCGGCGACGGCAUCCAGCCCCCACUGCUGAGGAGCCACUGGCACGGCUGUUCAGGAGGCUGACCUUUCUCCCUCCCCUUCCUCUCACCUGAAAGCAGCCCCCAACAGCUGGUUCUCCAGGGCAGUGUCUGCGUGAGGCUCUCCUUGCCCAUGAAAGACUGGCACUCCCUUGCCCCCUCUCCUUGGUUCCUCUUUGGGUUGUUCCACAGGACACGACUACUGUCGUAGUGGCAGAAUGGUCCUGGCUCUGUGCCGUGGCAGUUACAGCACUGAUGGAUCAAUAGUCACAGCCGAGGGGAAAGUGUGGCUGCCAUACCGACGGUCCCCAUUGAGCAGGGGGGCCUGGUUGGUGCUGGUGGGGGGUUUCUCUGUGGAUCUGGGAUGAGCUGAGGGAAGGGACACUGGAAUGACCACUGACGUUUAGGCUGAUGGCCCAGAAAGGGUGGCUGAGCUUUCUCUUCAGAAGGACAAGAAAAUGCAAGAAUUAACUAGAUCCAGGAUGACCAAGUUUCCAGGGAAUGAGGAGCAUUUUAUAUCCCCCAUUCCACUGAAUCAUCGUUAUCUGGAUCACUCUCAGUUGUGACAUUCUUGAAAACAGGCAUAAUGUGUACAUGUAUGUGUAACUGGGUCACCAUGCUGUACAGUAGAAAAAAAAUUGUAUUAGGGAAAUAAGAAUUAAAAAAAAAUGUGUUCCUUUGUUCCAAAUGAGGAAACUGAGGCUUUGAGAAGGUCAGCAGCUUAAGUGCGUGAUUCCUAAGCGGUCAGUGACAGAGUGCACAUGAGACCUGGCCAGCCUGUCUCUGGUUUGUUCCCUGCCACUCGCUGCCUUGCUCAUGAAACUCCAGCCCCGGCCCAUGACCUCGUCUCCUUCUUGGGGCUUUGGCCCCUUAUUUUCCUUCUCCCAGCAGUGCUUCUCCCCAGUAUCGGCAUGGCUGGCUCCUUCUCAUUCUGGCCACAGCCCAGGGACACUGCUCAGAGGGGGCCUCCUGGGUCACAUUAGCAGACACAGCUGUCCCCUUCCCCAGCCUCAGUCACCCUCCACCCUCUGACUCACAGUGUGGCAGAGCAGACGCCUGUGCACUGGGUCCCGGUUCUACCUCUGGUUUAAAUUCUCUGGGGCUGGAGUUUCAUCACCUGUCAAAUGGGAGUGUAAC
rnacentral:lncRNA from 1 species